rnacentral:rRNA from 1 species
ACCCCGCCACAAGCGGUGGAUCAUGUUGUUUAAUUCGUAUGAUACGCGAAGAACCUUACCAGGCUUGACAUCCCCCGCGAUGCUUUAGAGAUAAAGCGGAGGUAUUCGGGGAGACAGGUGGUGCAUGGUUGUCGUCAGCUCAUGUCGUGAGAUGUUGGGUUAAGUCCCGCAACGAGCGCAACCCUAUUGCUAGUUACCAUCAUUAAGUUGGGGACUCUAGCGAGACUGCCAGUGAUAAACUGGAGGAAGGUGGGGAUGACGUCAAAUCAUCAUGCCCCUUAUGACCUGGGCUACAAACGUGAUACAAUGGCUGGAACAAAGGGAUGCGAAGCAGUGAUGUGGAGCGAAACCCAUAAAAACAGUCUCAGUUCGGAUUGAAGUCUGCAACUCGACUUCAUGAAGUCGGAAUCGCUAGUAAUCGCGGAUCAGAACGCCGCGGUGAAUACGUUCUCGGGGUUC